rnacentral:rRNA from 1 species
CAGGAUGAACGCUAGCGACAGGCCUAACACAUGCAAGUCGAGGGGCAGCACAAGGAGCAAUCUGAGGUGGCGACCGGCGCACGGGUGAGUAACACGUAUGCAACCUGCCUGUAAGCGGGGAAUAACCCGUUGAAAGACGGACUAAUACCGCAUAAUACUAAAUUACUGCAUGGUAAUUUAUUUAAACAUUUGUGGCUUACAGAUGGGCAUGCGCAUGAUUAGCUAGUUGGAGAGGUAACGGCUCCCCAAGGCAACGAUCAUUAGGGGUUCUGAGAGGAAGGUCCCCACACUGGUACUGAGACACGGACCAGACUCCUACGGGAGGCAGCAGUGAGGAAUAUUGGUCAAUGGACGAGAGUCUGAACCAGCCAAGUCGCGUGCAGGAAGAAUGUCCUUAAUGGAUUGUAAACUGCUUUUGCAGGGGAAUAAAGUGCAUCACGUGUGAUGUUUUGUAUGUACUCUGCGAAUAAGGAUCGGCUAACUCCGUGCCAGCAGCGGC